GGGAGGGAGGGAAUGCUGCAGUUAGUCAGAGGCUGACGCUGAGCCCACCUCACCAGGUACAUACCUGCACCGACACAGAGAGAGAGAGAAAAAAACAAGCUGCAAACUCCAGCACCGACUCUAUUCGGGCUGUAGUCCGCCAGGAGAUUCAGAAACUUCUCCAAGUGCAAAGGAAUUAACUGGAUCCCUUUCAGUAUUUAACAAGGUUACAGCAGCCGGGCCGAUCAUCCACUGGAGGAGAUGCAGUGGUGGACGUUAUGGAGCUCAUUGGCGAUCGUGGCCCUGAUGGGAGCUGUGUGUCACGGGGAGAGAAGCAAUCGCUGCUUUCUCAAACGAGGUCAAACCUGCUCUGAUUGCAUGAGAGCGGAUAAAGACUGCGCCUAUUGUGCUGACGAGGUAAAUU